UUGAACGCUGGCGGCAUGCCUUACACAUGCAAGUCGAACGGUAACGGGCCUUCGGGUGCCGACGAGUGGCGAACGGGUGAGUAAUACAUCGGAACGUGCCCGAUCGUGGGGGAUAACGAGGCGAAAGCUUUGCUAAUACCGCAUACGAUCUACGGAUGAAAGCAGGGGACCGCAAGGCCUUGCGCGGACGGAGCGGCCGAUGGCAGAUUAGGUAGUUGGUGGGAUAAAAGCUUACCAAGCCGACGAUCUGUAGCUGGUCUGAGAGGAUGAUCAGCCACACUGGGACUGAGACACGGCCCAGACUCCUACGGGAGGCAGCAGUGGGGAAUUUUGGACAAUGGGCGCAAGCCUGAUCCAGCCAUGCCGCGUGCUGGAUGAAGGCCUUCGGGUUGUAAACUGCUUUUGUACGGAACGAAAAGCCUUCUUUUAAUACAGGAGGGUCAUGACGGUACCGUAAGAAUAAGCACCGGCUAACUACGUG
rnacentral:rRNA from 1 species